GAUGAACGCUGGCGGCGUGCCUAAUACAUGCAAGUCGAGCGAACAGACGAGGAGCUUGCUCCUCUGACGUUAGCGGCGGACGGGUGAGUAACACGUGGAUAACCUACCUAUAAGACUGGGAUAACUUCGGGAAACCGGAGCUAAUACCGGAUAAUAUAUUGAACCGCAUGGUUCAAUAGUGAAAGACGGUUUUGCUGUCACUUAUAGAUGGAUCCGCGCCGCAUUAGCUAGUUGGUAAGGUAACGGCUUACCAAGGCAACGAUGCGUAGCCGACCUGAGAGGGUGAUCGGCCACACUGGAACUGAGACACGGUCCAGACUCCUACGGGAGGCAGCAGUAGGGAAUCUUCCGCAAUGGGCGAAAGCUUGACGGAGCAACGCCGCGUGAGUGAUGAGGGUCUUCGGAUCGUAAAACUCUGUUAUUAGGGAAGAACAAAUGUGUAAGUAACUAUGCACGUCUUGACGGUACCUAAGCAGAAAGCCACGGCUAACUACGU
rnacentral:rRNA from 1 species